rnacentral:rRNA from 1 species
GACGAACGCUGGCGGCGUGCUUAACACAUGCAAGUCGAACGGAAAGGCCCUGCUUUUGUGGGGUGCUCGAGUGGCGAACGGGUGAGUAACACGUGAGUAACCUGCCCUUGACUUUGGGAUAACUUCAGGAAACUGGGGCUAAUACCGGAUAGGAGCUCCUGCUGCAUGGUGGGGGUUGGAAAGUUUCGGCGGUUGGGGAUGGACUCGCGGCUUAUCAGCUUGUUGGUGGGGUAGUGGCUUACCAAGGCUUUGACGGGUAGCCGGCCUGGGAGGGUGACCGGCCACAUUGGGACUGGGAUACGGCCCAGACGCCUACGGGAGGCAGGAGUGGGGAAUAGUGCACAAUGGGCGGAAGCCUGAUGCAGCGACGCCGCGUGCGGGAUGACGGCCUUCGGGUUGUAAACCGCUUUCGCCUGUGACGAAGCGUGAGUGAGGGUAAUGGGGAAAGAAACACCGGCAAACUACGU